rnacentral:sRNA from 1 species
AUAUAAGAUGAACUUACUAUGUCUUUUUAAAGUUACAGACGUAAUCUGAUUAUAGCAUCAUGUCAUUUUAAGUGCAAUUUAUUAUGAAUCUGGCGCAGUUGCCCAGGUUUUUUUUCAU